UGAGAAAACCCACAAAUAAUCCCAUUAAAAAUCCUACUCGACCUCUUUUUUCCUUUCCUCCGUAAAAAAGCAUCCCUCCGUUAAAAAUCAAAUUUACGUCUUUUUAAUUUUUUCUGUGUGAAUUCUUAGCUAAUAUUGCUAUAUCGGUGGCCUUGAUAUGUAAUUGGUGCAUUGUAGGGUAAUUUGCAACUUGCAAAUUUAUAUGCUGAUACCAACAGUGUAGAGCUCAAAGGCCUGAAAUAAUUGCUCAAUUGAAUUAUUUCUUAAGGCAUUGUAUCUGCAAGUUGCAAGUGUAUAUUCUUUUCUCAAAGAAGCCGUUCCUGGUGUUUUUAGAAUCCAUUGGCUACUCUCAAGAAGAUGUGCUCCUUCAGAAGCCCAAAGCUGGGGUAUGUAUAGCUUCAAAUCAUUCUUAAUCAGAAUGCCUAAAUUACCCUUGAAUCAGGCUUUCUGAUCUAGAUUUGGAUGUGGGUUAAUAUCAGUUACUGAGUAAUAUAAUACUUGCAGCUCCUGAAGCCUACUUUCACAAUUAUAUGUGAUAAAGAUUCAAAAUGCUUCCUUUGAUAAAGAUUCAAAAUACUUCCUUUUAUUGAUUCGUGGAACCCAUAGCAUCACAGAUACACUAACAGCAGCUAGUGGUGUAGUGGUACCUUUCCUCUCUUUUAUUUUGCAUGAUGGUGGGAUAAGCAAUUUGGUUCUGGCUUUUGCAUAUUCUGGGAUAGUUGUUGCUGCUCGUUGGAUUGCUAAGGUCAACACUCCAUCCUUGCUUAAGGCUCUCAAUGACUAUCCUGACUACAAAGUUAAGCGGUUCUUCAGCAACUUGGCGUGCUGAAAUACAGUUCAAAGCUUGCCAAAUUGAUUGUGGCUAAUAAUGAAAUAGAUUCAGGCAGUGAGGAGGAAGUUAAGCUAUGGACUUACUCCAUAUAUGCUGUGGAGAGGAUGAAGGAGUUGAUCAGUAAAAAAUCAGGGAAGUAGGUGUUGCUGAAUUCCUUUGACAUUUCUAGCAAUUUUGUACUUGUAUAUUUCCUUUUGGUAUUUCAAUGAUUUUCACUCUUUUUGUUUAGAUCAAUGUAUGUCCUUUUAUUAUUUUUCUCUUCCUUUUUUUUUUCCCAAUAGUAUAUAUAAUCUUUCUCUC